AUGGUGAAUUUGCAAUGCAAUGCCAGUACUACACCUAAUGAUUUCCAAUGCCAGUGUGAAUUUGCAGUGCAAAAAAAUUGCCAGGUCUGCACAAUUGUUGUUCUAGUUACUUUCGAAACAAGGAGAGCUUUGAUGUUGACUAGCAUGCUGAUAAAUUAUGAGAAAUUAAAGUUUCUCAGAUAUGCCAGCAAGAAAAUUCCUGUUGUUAAAUUCACUGAAAAUUCAGUUAAUUUGGCUUUACUGAAAACCUUACUGAAACUAAAUUCAGUUAGCUGGGUCAUCUUCCACUUGAGAGGCUGGAAUGAUAUCAGUGGCAAUUAUUUCCUAUGA
rnacentral:rRNA from 1 species